CCUACGGGGGGCAGCAGUAGGGAAUAUUGCACAAUGGGGGAAACCCUGAUGCAGCAACGCCGCGUGGGGGAUGAAGGUUUUCGGUUCGUAAACCCCUUUUGUUAGGGAAGAUAAUGACGGUAUCUAACGAAUAAGCACCGGCUAACUCCGUGCCAGCAGCCGCGGUAAUACGGAGGGUGCAAGCGUUACUCGGAAUCACUGGGCGUAAAGAGCGCGUAGGCGGGAUAGCAAGUCAGAUGUGAAAUCCUAUGGCUUAACCAUAGAACUGCAUUUGAAACUGUUCUUCUGGAGUAUAGGAGGGGUAAGUGGAAUUCUUGGUGUAGGGGUAAAAUCCGUAGAGAUCAGGAGGAAUACUCAUGGCGAAGGCGACCUGCUAGAACAUAACUGACGCUGAGGCGCGAAAGCGUGGGGAGCAAACAGGAUUAGAUACCCGUGUAGUC
rnacentral:rRNA from 1 species